CCUACGGGAGGCUGUAGUGGGGAAUAUUGGACAAUGGGGGGAACCCUGAUCCAGCCAUGCCGCGUGUGUGAAGAAGGCCCUCGGGUUGUAAAGCACUUUCAGUGAGGAAGAACGCCUGGUGGUUAAUACCCAUCAGGAAAGACAUCACUCACAGAAGAAGCACCGGCUAACUCCGUGCCAGCAGCCGCGGUAAUACGGAGGGUGCGAGCGUUAAUCGGAAUUACUGGGCGUAAAGCGCGCGUAGGUGGCUUGAUAAGCCGGUUGUGAAAGCCCCGGGCUCAACCUGGGAACGGCAUCCGGAACUGUCAAGCUAGAGUGCAGGAGAGGAAGGUAGAAUUCCCGGUGUAGCGGUGAAAUGCGUAGAGAUCGGGAGGAAUACCAGUGGCGAAGGCGGCCUUCUGGACUGACACUGACACUGAGGUGCGAAAGCGUGGGUAGCAAACAGGAUUAGAUACCCCAGUAGUC
rnacentral:rRNA from 1 species